UUCUUCUCUUCCUCUCUACAGCAUUAAAACAAAAGUCUUCAUCAUCUCAACGUUUACUCUUGCAAAAUCUCAAGAAAGCCAGUGUUCCUUAGAGCACAGCAGACACUGGGAGGAGGCUCUCCUCAUCAGACCUCUGCUCCUUCCCUGUUCCUAAGGCAAGACCACUGAAAGGCACCAGAGCUAUCUAACACAGAGAAGAACUCCUGCCCACACCAGAGAAAACCUGGUUUCAGACCCUGGUAUCCUCAGGGUGGUUGUUCUCCUGUGAGGAACAGCUGGAUGUGACAACGCAGAUGCUGGAAGCUUCCUGAGUGGUGCACCUGGAGACCAGCUGACAACAUGAAAAAGAUCCUUAGAUCUGGCUUGCCAGAAAAGGAGGCAGAAAUCAGCAACCUGAAUUAUGUGGGCUGCUCCGAAAGUAAUGCUUCCUAUUUAUUUCUAUAGAGACUACAACAGGUACAAAGACAACAAUAACAUUACUCAAUAGAGCAAAUUCUCAGCUGCAAAACACUCUUUUCCAACACUGUCAUCAACACUAGCUAUGGAUUUUCAUCAGCCGUGAACAAGAACCUGCAUGCUGCAGUCAUAAAAAUCUGCACCGGUGGAGGUAAGCCACUGUCAGUGUCACCACUGCUGAAACACACCACCCACCACCUCGCUGUGCUCACAUCCACUGUUUGGUCUCCAUAAGUAUUUCGGAAGUGUUGAUGAAUGUCAGUGGGUGCCGUUUUUUUUCCACAUGGAGGAAUGUAACUACACACCUUUGCUUCCGACACACUUCCAUGUCACAUGCCAUCCUGUCAGACUGCUUCUCUGCUGCCAUCUUGUCACGUGGCAACAACACGUAAUGGAACACUGUUGGGAAGGUUCAGCCUCAACUGCCAUACCACCAAUAUCCACCUCUGAUGCUGUGGGUCAACAAUAAAACAGGAGGCACUACCUUCGGAACAGCUCUUGUAUGUGAGGUCCAGCAGGUGCUGGCACCAGUAAAAAUAAUGGAAAUUUCAAAUAAAUAAGGUGAGCUGAGAAGGCCUCCUUAGAACACAUGUAAAAAAUUUCAUUAUCAUUAAACUUGGAAGCCAAGCACAGCUUUUCAUUUUCAACUCCCUGCAAGAUUGAUUUGACCUGUAUUUAGUGAGGGACUUCAGCCUUUUGUAGCCACCUGGAGCAGGGGACAGGCAAAGGCCAAGGCAUUUCCCUGUCCAGGUGGCCCUCAUAAAUAUCUCAGUGGAAUUUAUUUUCUUUCAUUUACUUUGGCAUUGCUUGGGCACUCCUUGAUUAAGGAGUGGUGUGUAGGAACUGACAUGCCCAGAGAUAGACAGCCACAUCUGCUAACCAUUUGGAUUAAUUAUUACACCUGUACCAUAAAACACAUGUUAAUAAAAGGCUGGUGAACAGGUUCAAGUUGCAGUUUUAAAAAGGGCCCAAAGAAAGCAAAAUGCAAGCCAUACACAAGAAGAGGCCAAACCUUUUGCUGAUAAGAUGCUGUAGGCUCCAACCACAUACAAGGAAGAGACAAUGUUAGAUACACUAAAUAUAUAUAUAUAUAUAUCACACAAGCAAACAAAAUAGGAACGUGUGUAUCCUGGCAAACUAUGCCUUUGUAGACCAUUGGCUAGAAGGUGAACAACAGUACACAUUCUUUCUUUCCUUCUUUCUUUUCUGUUAGAUGUAAAAGGAAAAAAAUCAUUAAUCACUCUGCAGGAUACAGCACUUAAAUGGGUAAAGUUGCUGAAGGGGUCUGGUUAGAAUCAGCCGAUUUUUCAUUUCCUUUCAGUGGGGACAGUGUGGUGCUCUGGAAUCUCUGGAGACCAGGAGCAUGAAUGCAGGUAUUGAAUUUUCAGGAGGAGACAAUUAAGGCCAAAUAUGUGAGAUACAAUCAUAUUUAAAUUAAUUCAGGUACUUCAACUGAAGACUUAAACCCUCUGCCUUCUUUGAGAUGCAUAUCUGGGAGAGCUUUACUGAGCUGGUAUUAAUCAUUCUAGGUUUGUAUCAGUUACAGUGGAAAGCAGUGGAGCUCUGUAUUUAUUAUUUAUUCUAUUGAACUGUCUAUGGAAAAACAUUUUGCUGAAUAAACUCUUCAAAUAGCCUUUGCUAUUCGAGAAGGCCUCCUUAGAACACAUGCAAAAAAUUAAUUAUCAUGAGGAAGCCAAGCACAGCUUUUCAUUUUCAACUCCCUGCAAGGAGCAAGGUGCCAAUUCUGUUUAGUGUUAGAUAACUUCUGACCACAUCAUGACUUGUAGAUGGACUGAAAAGGAAUAGGUAUCACAGGACAACGGUGAAGGCAAGUGUAGAUCUCACUUUGGACUGCAUCUGUAGUUGACCCUUAUCUGUUAUUUUUGGAGGCUCCUUUGGCAUAUUAGUACUCAACACAGCAAAUAUCACUAAGGAGGAGGUGCAUCAUGCUGCUCUGAUGACCAGUAUUGUUAGACAACCAUGCGUUGUUAAUGAAAUCUUUCUAAAUGAAGAAAGCCAGAAAAUGCUUCUCAAGCCUUCACAAAUAAGACUUGACUACAAACCCAUCACUUCAGUGCAUUUGGUCUUGACCUUUAAAUGUAGCAGUCACAUGAUCCAGGAGAAAGCUGAGGUCUCUAUUCUGCCACCAAACCCUGCCAAAGCUGUGGGUUCAGCUGAAGAGCUACUGCAUGCUUGGUGGAUUGACCGUGGUUACAAAUACCACUUGCAGGUAAGGCUUUCCAUUCACUGAUCUCUAUUUAGCCCAUGUCUUCCUGAGAGGAUGGACUCAGAAACAGUAUGGCUGCUGGGUUACCUGUAAUCAUUUAAUUUUAGACAUCAUUAUUUUAUGUUUUGAAGAUAGCAUAGAUUUCUGCAUCAGAUACACCACCUUAUCACUACCAGGCUAAAUAUGAACCCAAAAGAUUGGCAGAUCAGCCAGGCAGAAGAAGCUUUCUUCCAAGGAAUGCUAUUCAGCUUCACAAGGAAGAUGGGGCUUUCACAUCAUCACAGCUCCUGCUCCAGACUCUGCUAAAUGAGCUGCAGUCAAGGACAGUUUAUAAGACAUAGUAAGUCUUGCUAUGGGAUGGACGAGCUAAAGCAGUUUGCCCAGCCACAGCAUGAAGAAUACACUUUCAAGGCUAUAUUUCAUGAAACGGGACCAAAAAAAGAUGAAGUUAAAUGUCUGUCUCACUUGCCUAAAGAAAUAUCUUAUGGAAACGUGACAGCCUCCUAGGAAUGGGAUUACAGCAGUAUGGAAUAUACAGUGAUACAAUUUUAAGAGAUAGCCCACAGUAAAUCUGAGAAAGUUAUUCAUUCUUAUACAUCUGCUUUACUGUUUGAAAGUUACUUCCUCCUUCAAUCCCAGUCUAAGACUUUGUACUCUCUACCUGCACAUGUUCAGUUUGUUCUGUGCACAACAGAGAAACGCAAAGAAUUUCCAAAAAUAAGGUUGUAGUUAAUGCCAGGUCAUAUGUACUAAAGCCCUAACAGAGGAUAGCACUGCUUUCCUAUUAUUACCAUUUUUUAAUGGUCUAAUUUUUCCCAGUGGAUACCAGUACAUGCAGAGGUUGUAGCAGAUGAAAAAAAAAAAGAAAAAGAAGAAGAAAGAAGAAUGUUUCUAUAUACUUCUGUUGUAAUCUGGAAAAUAAUGGCUUGCAGCAAACUGACGCUACAUUAAACGUACCUUUCUAGUAGAUGAAAAAUUUCUGAUUCUGAUUUUGGUUAUUUCAGUUGAUGGUUUUUUGCUUUAUUUUGUUUUGCUUUUUUGUUUU
ensembl:lncRNA